rnacentral:rRNA from 1 species
UGCAAGUCGAACGAACUCUGGUAUUGAUUGGUGCUUGCAUCAUGAUUUACAUUUGAGUGAGUGGCGAACUGGUGAGUAACACGUGGGAAACCUGCCCAGAAGCGGGGGAUAACACCUGGAAACAGAUGCUAAUACCGCAUAACAACUUGGACCGCAUGGUCCGAGUUUGAAAGAUGGCUUCGGCUAUCACUUUUGGAUGGUCCCGCGGCGUAUUAGCUAGAUGGUGNGGUAACGGCUCACCAUGGCAAUGAUACGUAGCCGACCUGAGAGGGUAAUCGGCCACAUUGGGACUGAGACACGGCCCAAACUCCUACGGGAGGCAGCAGUAGGGAAUCUUCCACAAUGGACGAAAGUCUGAUGGAGCAACGCCGCGUGAGUGAAGAAGGGUUUCGGCUCGUAAAACUCUGUUGUUAAAGAAGAACAUAUCUGAGAGUAACUGUUCAGGUAUUGACGGUAUUUAACCAGAAAGCCACGGCUAACUACGUGCCAGCAGCCGCGGUAAUACGUAGGUGGCAAGCGUUGUCCGGAUUUAUUGGGCGUAAAGCGAGCGCAGGCGGUUUUUUAAGUCUGAUGUGAAAGCCUUCGGCUCAACCGAAGAAGUGCAUCGGAAACUGGGAAACUUGAGUGCAGAAGAGGACAGUGGAACUCCAUGUGUAGCGGUGAAAUGCGUAGAUAUAUGGAAGAACACCAGUGGCGAAGGCGGCUGUCUGGUCUGUAACUGACGCUGAGGCUCGAAAGUAUGGGUAGCAAACAGGAUUAGAUACCCUGGUAGUCCAUACCGUAAACGAUGAAUGCUAAGUGUUGGAGGGUUUCCGCCCUUCAGUGCUGCAGCUAACGCAUUAAGCAUUCCGCCUGGGGAGUACGGCCGCAAGGCUGAAACUCAAAGGAAUUGACGGGGGCCCGCACAAGCGGUGGAGCAUGUGGUUUAAUUCGAAGCUACGCGAAGAACCUUACCAGGUCUUGACAUACUAUGCAAAUCUAAGAGAUUAGACGUUCCCUUCGGGGACAUGGAUACAGGUGGUGCAUGGUUGUCGUCAGCUCGUGUCGUGAGAUGUUGGGUUAAGUCCCGCAACGAGCGCAACCCUUAUUAUCAGUUGCCAGCAUUAAGUUGGGCACUCUGGUGAGACUGCCGGUGACAAACCGGAGGAAGGUGGGGAUGACGUCAAAUCAUCAUGCCCCUUAUGACCUGGGCUACACACGUGCUACAAUGGAUGGUACAACGAGUUGCGAACUCGCGAGAGUAAGCUAAUCUCUUAAAGCCAUUCUCAGUUCGGAUUGUAGGCUGCAACUCGCCUACAUGAAGUCGGAAUCGCUAGUAAUCGCGGAUCAGCAUGCCGCGGUGAAUACGUUCCCGGGCCUUGUACACACCGCCCGUCACACCAUGAGAGUUUGUAACACCCAAAGUCGGUGGGGUAACC